GAAAUGCGAUAAGUAAUGUGAAUUGCAGAAUUCAGUGAAUCAUCGAAUCUUUGAACGCACAUUGCGCCCGCCAGUAUUCUGGCGGGCAUGCCUGUUCGAGCGUCAUUACAACCCUCAGGCCCCCGGGCCUGGCGUUGGGGAUCGGCGGAAGCCCCCUGCGGGCACAACGCCGUCCCCCAAAUACAGUGGCGGUCCCGCCGCAGCUUCCAUUGCGUAGUAGCUAACACCUCGCAACUGGAGAGCGGCGCGGCCACGCCGUAAAACACCCAACUUCUGAAUGUUGACCUCGAAUCAGGUAGGAAUACCCGCUGACCUUAAGC
rnacentral:misc_RNA from 1 species